CGUGAGUGAAGAAGGCCUUCGGGUUGUAAAGCUCUUUCGUGAGGGAAGAAAAGGUUCAUGCCAAUAACCUGGAUUGAUGACGGUACCUCAAGAAGAAGCACCGGCUAACUACGUGCCAGCAGCCGCGGUAAUACGUAGGGUGCGAGCGUUAAUCGGAAUUACUGGGCGUAAAGCGUGCGCAGGUGGUUUGUUAAGUCUGAUGUGAAAGCCCCGAGCUUAACUUGGGAACUGCGUUUGAAACUGGCGAGCUAGAGUCUGUCAGAGGGGGGUAGAAUUCCACGUGUAGCAAUGAAAUGCGUAAAGAUGUGGAGGAAUACCAAUGGCGAAGGCAGCCCCCUGGGAUAAGACUGACGCUCAUGCACGAAAGCGUGGGGAGCAAACAGGAUUAGAUACCCUGGUAGUCCACGCCCUAAACGAUGUCAACUGGUUGUUGGGCAACUUGAUUGUUCAGUAACGAAGCUAACGCGAGAAGUUGACCGCCUGGGGAGUACGGUCGCAAGAUUAAAACUCAAAGAAUUGACG
rnacentral:rRNA from 1 species